rnacentral:misc_RNA from 2 species
GCGAAGCUCGGAAUGCGUGUUCGGUCUGAUGCUGCCCAGCAAUGGGAUGUGCUCGGCCGGAUGCGUGUCCCUUCUCUAUUCCACCCCUUUGUGAACCAAGUGUGCGAGCCGAAGAGAGAUCGGAGGCUCGCAUGCAACCCUUAACAUACCCCAAUGAAGUAUCAGAAUGUACCUUGCGUUAACUCGCACAAAUA